rnacentral:lncRNA from 1 species
UUUACUUGCUCUUUACGCCUCACAUUCUAAAACAAACUUUUCAUCAUGAUUAAUAUCGUUAUGUUUGUUUGUGUUACCAUGGUGGUAUAAGCCUGAACUCCGUUGUGCCUUUCAUCAAGGAGCUCCCUACCAUGAGCUCCUUUGAAUGUCUCUUUAUCUCUCUAAUACAUAGACCUCAGCUGGUCUCUAUCGGGAUCCAUAUCCACAUUAUACUUGUACUAUUUCACAAAAGCUUCACCCAAAUUGUUGAACGUAUGAACACUUGCACUGUAU